rnacentral:rRNA from 1 species
GCAGUGGGGAAUAUUGGACAAUGGGCGCAAGCCUGAUCCAGCAAUACCGCGUGUGUGAAGAAGGCCUGCGGGUUGUAAAGCACUUUCAAUUGUGAAGAAAAGCUUGGGGCUAAUAUCCUCGAGUCUUGACGUUAACUUUAGAAGAAGCACCGGCUAACUCUGUGCCAGCAGCCGCGGUAAUACAGAGGGUGCGAGCGUUAAUCGGAAUUACUGGGCGUAAAGCGUGCGUAGGCGGUUUAGUAAGUCAGAUGUGAAAGCCCUGGGCUUAACCUGGGAACUGCAUUUGAAACUGCUGAACUAGAGUGUGGUAGAGGGAAGUGGAAUUCCGGGUGUAGCGGUGAAAUGCGUAGAUAUCCGGAGGAACACCAGUGGCGAAGGCGACUUCCUGG